rnacentral:rRNA from 1 species
GACGAACGCUGGCGGCGUGCCUAAUACAUGCAAGUCGAACGCAGUGGGGACGGGUGAGUAACACGUGGGUAACCUCCCAUCAGAGGGGAUAACACUUGGAAACAGGUGCUAAAACGAUACUGAUGGAUGGACCCGCUGUGCAUUAGCUAGUUGGGGAGGUAACGGCUCACCAAGGCCACGAUGCAUAGCCGGCCUUGGAGGGGGAUCGGACACAUUGGGACUGAUACCCGGCCCAGACGCCUACGGUAGGCAGCAGGAGGGAAUCUUCGGCAAGGGACGAAAGUCUGACCGGGAAACGCCGCGUGAGUGAAGAAGGUUUUCGGAUCGUAAAACUCUGUUGUUAGAGAAGCGGUAUCUAACCAGAAAGCCACGGCUAACUACGUGCCAGCAGCCGCGGUAAUUC